rnacentral:rRNA from 1 species
UACGGGGGGGGCAAGCGUUGUUCGGAAUUACUGGGCGUAAAGGGCUCGUAGGCGGCCAACUAAGUCAGACGUGAAAUCCCUCGGCUUAACCGGGGAACGGCGUCUGAUACUGGAUGGCUUGAGUUCGGGAGAGGGAUGCGGAAUUCCAGGUGUAGCGGUGAAAUGCGUAGAUAUCUGGAGGAACACCGGUGGCGAAGGCGGCAUCCUGGACCGACACUGACGCUGAUGAGCGAAAGCCAGGGGAGCAAACGGG